rnacentral:rRNA from 1 species
CAGCACCUCAAGUGGUCAGGAUGAUUAUUGGGCCUAAAGCAUCCGUAGCCGGCGCUGUAAGUUUUCGGUUAAAUCUGUACGCUCAACGUACAGGCUGCCGGGAAUACUGCAGCGCUAGGGAGUGGGAGAGGUAGACGGUACUCGGUAGGAAGGGGUAAAAUCCGUUGAUCUAUUGAUGACCACCUGUGGCGAAGGCGGUCUACCAGAACACGUCCGACGGUGGGGGAUGAAAGCUGGGGGAGCAAACCGGAUUAGAGACCCGAGUAGUCC